rnacentral:rRNA from 1 species
GUAUGAAUUAGUUAAUAAAAGUAAUUUUAAAGAUAUUAGAGGAAAUUUAGUAUUGUGUAAAGAAAGAUGAAGAUUGAUUUAUAGUAUAAUAGUACUGUUAAGGGAAUUUGAAAUAGUUAUGAAAUAUGUAUUUAAUAAUAAAGUAAAAUUGAAUUUGUACCUUGUGUAUCAGGGUUUAUUAAAUAUAUUAUUAUGAAAAUUAGUUGUCCCGAAGUGAAUAGGAGCGAAGAUUAUAUAAUGAUUAAUGUAGUAUAAUUAUCAGUAAUAUAAUGCUUGGUAAAUGAAAUGUUAGGCGAUUUUUAUGAUAUCUGGUUUUCUAAGAAAUAAAUUGAAUUUAGUUAAUAUUGUGAGUAGUUAUAUUAUUUAGGGAGUAUGCUAUAUAGUAUAGAAAAUAUUUCUUGGGAUAAGCUAAGGAAUAUAUUGGUUAUAAAUAUGUAUUAUUAUAGUGGAAGAUGUAGGCUUUAAAUUAGCUUUUUAUUUAAAAUUGUUAUAAAUUGGUUAAGGUAAAAUAUGAUUUUAUAAAAUUUUUAAUUAGUUUAUUAGAAUAAAUAAGUUAACAGGUAGAAUUGUUGAAUUUAUGGUAAAAUGAGUAUAAAUUAUAUUUGUUUAUGAAGAAUUAAGUAGUUUGUAAAUUUAAAUUAAGGAAUUAGGCAAAUUUUCUAUUCACAUGUUUAUCAAAAACAUCUCUUUUUGGUAAUAAUAAAAAGUAGGGCCUGCCCCCUGAGGAGUUAAAGGGCCGCGGUAAUUUGACCGUGCAAAGGUAGCAAAAUCAUUAGUCUUUUAAUUGGAGGCUGGAAUGAAUGGUUUGAUGAGAUAGAGACUGUCUUGAAUUUAAUUUAUAGAAAUUAACUUUUUAGUAAAAAGGCUAAAAUGGUAGUAUAGGACGAGAAGACCCUAUAGAGUUUUAUUUAAUUUUGAUUUAUUUAUUUUUAGUUUGUUUUUGUAUAUUAAGUUUUAAUUAAAUUAUGUUGGGGCGACAUGAAGGAUGAAUAAACUCUUUAUAUUUAUAUAACCAUAGAUUUAUGAAUUAUUGAUCCAAUUAUAUUGAUUAUAAGUUUAAAUUACCUUAGGGAUAACAGCGUAAUUUUUUUGGAGAGUUCUUAUCGAGAAGAAAGAUUGCGACCUCGAUGUUGGAUUAGGAAAAUUUUUAGGUGGAGCAGUUUAUAGAAUAAGUCUGUUCGACUUUUAAAUUCCUACAUGAUCUGAGUUCAGACCGGCGUGAGCCAGGUCGGUUUCUAUCCUUAUUAAAUUGGAAGACUUUAGUACGAGAGGACCAAGUUUUUAAAAUAGUUUUUGGUAAUAAGAAUGAUAAUAAAUUU